UAUGGCUCAGAUUGAACGCUGGCGGCAGGCCUAACACAUGCAAGUCGAGCGGAAACGACUUAACUGAACCUUCGGGGAACGUUAAGGGCGUCGAGCGGCGGACGGGUGAGUAAUGCCUAGGAAAUUGCCCUGAUGUGGGGGAUAACCAUUGGAAACGAUGGCUAAUACCGCAUGAUGCCUACGGGCCAAAGAGGGGGACCUUCGGGCCUCUCGCGUCAGGAUAUGCCUAGGUGGGAUUAGCUAGUUGGUGAGGUAAUGGCUCACCAAGGCGACGAUCCCUAGCUGGUCUGAGAGGAUGAUCAGCCACACUGGAACUGAGACACGGUCCAGACUCCUACGGGAGGCAGCAGUGGGGAAUAUUGCACAAUGGGCGCAAGCCUGAUGCAGCCAUGCCGCGUGUGUGAAGAAGGCCUUCGGGUUGUAAAGCACUUUCAGUCGUGAGGAAGGUGGUGUAGUUAAUAGCUGCAUUAUUUGACGUUAGCGACAGAAGAAGCACCGGCUAACUCCGUGC
rnacentral:rRNA from 1 species